UUUCCACACGUGCUGCGAAUGCAAGAAAACGUACAGGUCGAGAAUGGCUCUAAAUCGGCACGUCCGAGAGGAAUGUGGCAGAGUUUUGUACACGUGUCCCUUUUGCCACAGCAUCAUGCCUAUGAAGUUCAAUCUGGUCAACCAUCUGAAGAAGGAACACGGCUGUGUGACUAAAAUUUGAAGCGACCUAAUCUCCGAAUGGUCUGGAUCGUCCCUCGAGAAUAAACAUUUUUUCUUCCAUACUGUAUCUUCUUUCGUCUACAACGACAAAGCUACAACGAACUGAAUGAACGUCAUUCGCGAUGAUCGCUACUCGGUCGGAUCAGCACAGCAAUCGUAAUGCAUAUACGAUGUCAUAUAUAUGAAAAGUGUUACACGUUCGUCGAGCGCCACGACAGUUUUAUCGAUCGAAUCACUAAAUCCGACAACAAGAAAGAAGCGUGACAUGGGUUCGACUCACUCGUUUCAACUAAAACGUUUCCGCUCAAAAUAUAACGUAGUUAACGUAUAUAUUGUGUUGGCAACUAAGUGAUUGCUGAUUUUAUUACUACGUGGUAUUGACAAAAUUCGCAAUCAAUUAGUUGCCAAUCCAAUACUUGUAUCGCGCAGACAUACGUUUCGUGGUAAAGAGCAGUCAAUAAAGUGUCAUCGAAACAACCACUCGUUUCUCGUUUGAUCUCGCCGACGAGGUGCGAUACAAUUAAUGUGAAAUUAUCGAAAUGUGCGUGGGACCUGAACCGAAUUAUACGUAACCGAAUUACACUACGCUUUCCUCUUUGCCGCGGCUCCAUCAUGGUCAUUAUCUUUCAUCGAUAUAGGGUUGAUCCGGUCAAAGAUGCCGUCAAUUGUUAGACAGAUGCACGCACACAACACAUACGCGCGCGAUAAUGCUCUCUUCGAUCCAUCGAUGAACGAAAGGACAGUCGUAAAUGUACUUGUUGAUAACGAUUACGUUAAUGGUCCAAGCGUUUGCCGAAAACAACGAUCGGUCAACUGGUUCUUCGACUUGGACUAACCGAAGUUUGUGAUUUCUUUCUUUUUUCUUGCAGAUUAUCUAAGUCUAACCGAGAAUCGAUAGCACGCGUGCAAGAAUUUUGGAAUGGAACACCUGUUUGGCCUGCUCGAAAUCGUACAAAUGGAGGAAGUCCUUGCAUCGGCACGUACGAGAGAGCCCGGAAUGUUGGCCCGUUCUCCUAACAUCUGGAAACGGCGAAUUCAUCCGACAGAUUCACUACAAAAUGCUUUACAAUGUUAACAAUUGAUCCGCCUCGUAUCCCAUGUCGAUAUUUGCGACAGUUGUAAAAUGAUUAAAUGGAUGCAGCCGCGCGCACCGUUCCUGCGUGGUUCUUUCUCUUGUUAUUUCGGAUAUCUUUUUAUAGAAAUAAAUGUUGCAUUAUAUUCUGAUACAAAA